ACGGGCCCAAUAACUAUUAUUUUUUGUCCUAAUGUAUGUGACACAGAUAAAAUAUAGUGAGUUAUUUAAAUUUAAUAUGAUUUUUAAAUAUUUUAAGUUGUUAAUAAUGUAAUUUAUAAUAUUUUUACGUAAUUUGUAAAUACUUAAUAUAUAUUACUCCACUUGUCUCAAUGUAUGUAGCAUAGAUAAAAUUUCAAGAGUUAAUCAAAUGUUGUUAAUUGUUAAGAUUUACAAUACAUUUUACGUAGCUUUCAGUAAUUUGACAUUAAAUAAUACAUAUUACUACUUUUGUCUCAUUUUAUGUGACAUUGAUAGAUUAAUUUUAAGAAUCAGACAAUUUCUUUUUUUGUGCAUUUUUAAUAAAUAUUUUAAGUUGUCAAUUAUCACGAUUUAUUGUAUUUUAUACAUAAUUUUUAACGAUAGAUUAAUUUCAAGAAUCAAUCGAAA
rnacentral:lncRNA from 1 species